rnacentral:rRNA from 1 species
UAGAUACCCUAUUAUACCUGUCGUUUUUUUUUGCUCGGGUAUUAUUAGUUAAGUUCUUUAAACCCAAAGGAUUUGGCGGUAUUUUAGUCUUUUCAGAGGAACCUGCCUCUUAAUUGAUAUUACACGAUUUAGUUUACUUAUCUUUGUGUUCAGUUUUUAUAUCUCCGUCAAAAGAAUAUCUUUUUAGGGUUAAUUUUCUUAAUUAUUUGAUUUAAUUAUGUCAGGUCAAGGUGAAGCUUAUGGAUAAGUGUUGGUGGGUUACAAUAAAUUUAUUUAUAUGAAUAAAAAUAUUUAUAUAUUUUUUGAAGGUGGAUUUGAUUGUAAAUUAAUUUAUUAGGUUUAUUGAUUUUGAGCUCUAAAAUGUGC